UCCCGACCCAGGCGGCCCGGAAGGACUAAGCGGCAGCCCUGCGCUCGCCCUGAGAUCCUUCCCAGAGUCCACCCACGCAGGACUCAGCCUGGGCUCUCUACCUGCGCUCGGGACUGGAAAGACUGCGCACAAUGAGAGGCGCGUUGGUUCGCCGCAACGGGGAGCAGAAAGCGGCCUGGGUCAGCCACUGGAAAGGGUUACUAUUGCUGUGAUGAAACACCACAUAAAAACAAGAAAUGUCAGAAGCUACACCCAUGAAGUUUCAACAAUAUGACUGCCCAAGCAUGACCCGAACAAGGGUAACACCGAUAGACAUGUUAACUUGAAUGGGGAAAGCCAAAGAGGCUUCAGCACUACAUAAAGAACUACAAUCAACUGGAAUGCCGAGAUUGGGAAAAAUAGUCUUUCCCAGGGAAGAGCACACCAGUUUGUUAUCCCAUACCAAAAGGUCAGCACUGAAAACAUACCUACAACUAAUAUUAUAGAGACUAUGCAGGUUGUAUUUAUGCAUUUAGGAAUAUAUCUAUGUAUACAUACAUGUAUGUGUGUAUUAACAACUAAAUUUCUUAAAAAGAGGCCAUGAAUUUGAAAGAGCAAUGGGAGGGGUAUAAGAUAGGGUUUGGAAGGAGGACGGGAAAGAAAAAAAUGAUGUAAUUAGAUUCUAAUCUCAAAAAAUAAAAAGUAACAUGAAAGAACAGGCAGACUGCUCCCAUCAAUGAGAUGAAAAAGGCCUCGAAGUUGAGAGACCACCCAGAGACUCUGUGUAAGACCUAAGGCUCCUGGCCUUCCCGUUCCUGACUCCCUCUCCUCCUCCCUGAUAGUCUCACCCACAGUAUCCUCCCUCAGAUAAGCUCUUUCCCUCCAGCAUUAGCAGUUUGUAAGAGUUGGGCUCAUGGCAGGGAACAACCCCAGAAGCAACAGGCAGCCCCUCUUGAUGGGGCCCAUCCCUGCCUUCCUGGUUGGCCCAAGUUCUCCUGAUCCUCCUUCAACAUGGUAGGAAAGCACUGGCUACUGCAAGUUAUCAUCUGAUCUCCACCCAUGUGCCACCGUGUCCAGCUCAGGUUCUUUUUAAAUUACUCUACGAACUCAGUUCUAGUAAGCCCGUUGGUGCUUGAGGUCUAGACAGCUUUAUCUUAAAAAGGGAUGGAUAGUUGUUUUUCUCAGUCUUUCCACUUCCACAGCCCUCAAUCUGUCCAAUCUGUCCUCAGUCCAAUCUGUCCCCAGGUCUCACAGCCUUAUGAGCCUUUCACCCUCAGUCAAUAAAUAAACAAAUA